GCAGUAAGCGUACGGCUGAAAUGCCACAUUCGAAUCAUUAAAACACGUCCUCAGUUUGCCAAAUUCCCUAGUCUGCCAAGGCUUAAACAUUCCCUAGUCUGACAAAUUC